rnacentral:rRNA from 1 species
AUGCUUAGGUUUUCUGUAUAUUUUUCAGAGCAUCUAUGGCUAAUCCGACGCAUCAUUGUCUUGAAACAAGGUGAUGUCGAGUUAGAUUUUGAACUGACGUCAAUCGACAGCGCCGAUCCUUUCGAUCCUUCCUUACUUUUGGACGUGGAGAAGCACUGCCGGGAAGCGGGUGCAUCGGUUCAUGGCGGAAUAGGGCCAUUUGGACUUAUUGUCCUAGCCUCUGACAACAUGGAGGAGCACACUGCUGUUCACUUCCGGGUAUACAAGUCAGAGCAGAAGGAAAUGAUACUCAUAUACUCUGAUCUAAGAAGUUCUUCAUUGAGACCAGGACUAUACACACCAGCCUAUGGAGUCUUCUUUGAAUUUGAUCUUGAAAAGGAAAAGAAGAUAUCUCUGAAACCUCUGAUUGAUCCGUCAGUGGUGGAGAGCUUUGAUGGCGGCAGGGUCUGCAUCAUCACCAGAGUUUAUUCCAUAGCGGUUGUUGACAGCGGGGCACACAUGUAUGCCUUCAACAACGGCAGUACCACGAUCAGAGCACAUAAACAGGGAAAACAUAGCUGCUCAUUUCCUUGA